rnacentral:SRP_RNA from 1 species
GCUGGGCAUGGUGGUGCAUGCCCAUAGUCCCAGCUACUUGGGGGGCUGAGGUGGGAGGAUCACUUGAGCCCAGGAGGUUGAGGCUGUAGUGAGCUGAGAUCGUGCCACUGCACUCCAGCCUGGGUGACAAAGUGAGACCCUGUCUCAA